rnacentral:lncRNA from 1 species
GGAGACCACCGUGGAGGUGCAAAGGCGGUGGACUCUCGCCUGUCUUCUCCGUGGGAUCCACAGGAUAGUCCGAGGAUCCUAGGAGAGGGCAGAUGUGAGCGAGCCUGAAGAAACGUCAGGCAGAGCCCCAGGAGUAAACCGCGAAAUCCCUAGGGAUCCAAAAGGAUCUGAAGGAUGCCUCAGGCCUGUCUAGUCGUUGUAGGGAGACAAGGUCUGGCUCUGUCACCCAAGCUGGAGUACAGUGGCACCAGCUCCACUCACUGUAACCUUUGCCUCCCAAGUUGAAGUGAUUCCUGUGCCUCAGCCUCCCAAGUAGCUGGGACUACAGAUAUGGACACUAUUGAUGGGAGCGGCUGGCCAUCUGGAGUGGCAGUUGCCAUCAUGCCAGUAGCGCUUGGGCCGCAUGGGCAGUGUUGUCAGGAGCAGCAGCAGGAGCAGCAGUGGCGGUGGUAGGACCCCGUUCCCUGUGUCCCCAAGGCAUCUGACUGCGCCGCCGCCCCCUAAUGGCUGGGCAGGACCCACUGCCAGGUGCAGACCCUCCAUGGCGGCCUCAAUUUCGCUUCCUACCACAUCUGGGAGCCCAUCAGCGCUGGCAGCCGGGUCUUGCAGGAUUGGCCCCAGGAGCAUCAGGUUCAUUUGUGCGGCAUUAGCCAGGGCCCCCAUGCCACCUGCACCUCGCCCAUGCACUACUGCAGGGAAAACGCAGAGAGGAGUCACGGCCAAGGCUGCACACUCUAUGGAGCCAGUGGCAGCUGGGGACAAGUGGGAGCCCAGCCCCUUCCAAGUUGCCAGGGCAGGAACUCCCCAGGCGCAACUGCAGCUGCCCAAGGAGGGUCUGCGACCCAGGCACUCCUGUGCUCUUGGGAGCCAGGAGAAGGCAGGAGCCCCACCCUCCCAGGCACAGCUGGAGCCUUUCAAGCCACAGCUGCAGACCCAGGCACCUCUGCACUCUUGGGGCCUGGGAAGGCCCCCGUGACCACACAGGCUCGGAAGUGCCUGCCCCCACUGUCUGGGUUCUCCUCGCUGUCAGCACCUGCUCCAAUCUUCGAGCAAAGUUGAGGUCGAGCACACUAUAUUGUGACCAAUAUAAAAUAGAUAUAAAAAUACCUCUUACACUUAAA